UACGUAGGUGGCGGGCGUUAUCCGGAAUGAUUGGGCGUAAAGGGUGCGUAGGCGGCCUGCUAAGUCUGGAGUGAAAGGUACCGGCUCAACCGGUACAGGCUCUGGAAACUGGCGGGCUAGAGAGCAGGAGAGGGCGGUGGAACUCCAUGUGUAGCGGUAAAAUGCGUAGAUAUAUGGAAGAACACCAGUGGCGAAGGCGGCCGCCUGGCCUGUUGACUGACGCUGAGGCACGAAAGCGUGGGGAGCAAAUAGG
rnacentral:rRNA from 1 species